CGUAGGUAACCUGCCUUGUAGCGGGGGAUAACUAUUGGAAACGAUAACUAAUACCCCAUAACAAUGGAUGACACAUGUCAUUUAUUUGAAAGGGGCAAUUGCUCCACUACAAGAUGGACCUGCGUUGUAUUAGCUAGUAGGUGAGGUAAUGGCUCACCUACGCGACCAUACAUAGCCGACCUGAGAGGGUGAUCGGCCACGCUGGGACUGAGACACGGCCCAUACUCCUACGGGAGGCACCCCUAGGGAAUCUUCGGCAAUGGGGGCAACCCUGACCGAGCAACGCCGCGUGAGUGAAGAAGGUUUUCGGAUCGUAAAGCUCUGUUGUAAGUCAAGAACGGGUGUGAGAGUGGAAAGUUCACACUGUGACGGUAGCUUACCAGAAAGGGACGGCUAACUACGUGCCAGCAGCCGCGGUAAUACGUAGGUCCCGAGCGUUGUCCGGAUUUAUUGGGCGUAAAGCGAGCGCAGGCGGUUUGAUAAGUCUGAAGUUAAAGGCUGUGGCUCAAC
rnacentral:rRNA from 1 species